rnacentral:tRNA from 1 species
GGUGGCUCAGUGAUAGGGCAUCUGCUUCACAUGCAGACGGUGGCUAGUUCAACCCCUGGCAUCUCCA